rnacentral:rRNA from 1 species
GAUGAACGCUGGCGGCGUGCCUAAUACAUGCAAGUCGAGCGAAUGGAUUAAGAGCUUGCUCUUAUGAAGUUAGCGGCGGACGGGUGAGUAACACGUGGGUAACCUGCCCAUAAGACUGGGAUAACUCCGGGAAACCGGGGCUAAUACCGGAUAACAUUUUGAACCGCAUGGUUCGAAAUUGAAAGGCGGCUUCGGCUGUCACUUAUGGAUGGACCCGCGUCGCAUUAGCUAGUUGGUGAGGUAACGGCUCACCAAGGCAACGAUGCGUAGCCGACCUGAGGGGGUGAUCGGCCACACGGGGACUGAGACACGGCCCAGACGCCUACGGGAGGCAGCAGUAGGGAAUCUUCCGCAAUGGACGAAAGUCUGACGGAGCAACGCCGCGUGAGUGAUGAAGGCUUUCGGGUCGUAAAACUCUGUUGUUAGGGAAGAACAAGUGCUAGUUGAAUAAGCUGGCACCUUGACGGUACCUAACCAGAAAGCCACGGCUAACUACGUGCCAGCCGCCGCGGUAA